rnacentral:misc_RNA from 1 species
UCCGGCUUGACGCCGGCAGUCCCCCGAGAGUCCUCAGCUUGACCUGUUAGCAACAUGGGACAAGGGUUGCGCUCGUUGCGGGACUUAACCCAACAUCUCACGACACGAGCUGACGACAGCCAUGCACCACCUGUACACCGGCCCCGAAGGGCUGCCGUAUUUCUACGGCAUUCCGGUGCAUGUCAAGCCCUGGUAAGGUUCUUCGCGUCGCAUCGAAUUAAACAACAUGCUCCGCUGCUUGUGCGGGUCCCCGUCAAUUCCUUUGAGUUUUAGCCUUGCGGCCGUACUCCCCAGGCGGGGUGCUUAAUGCGUUAGCUCCGGCACGGACGGAGUCGACACCGCCCACACCUAGCAUCCAUCGUUUACGGCGUGGACUAC